rnacentral:tRNA from 1 species
UCUUCGAUAGCUCAGUUGGUAGAGCGGAGGACUGUAGAUCCUUAGGUCGCUGGUUCGAAUCCGGCUCGAAGGA